GGGCCGCUAGCUCAACCUGGUAGAGCAGCUGGCUUUUAACCAGCGGGUUAAGGGUUCAAAUCCCUUGCGGCCCG
rnacentral:tRNA from 1 species